UUAACUGAAACCAAAAUAGAGGUGUAUUACUGUUAAUAAUACUAUUGAAUUCAUAAUCCAGUUAAG
rnacentral:tRNA from 1 species